rnacentral:sRNA from 1 species
AAAUAUAUAUAUAUUUAUGCAUUCAGGUUUUGUUAGUUAUGACAAUCCUGUGUCUGCCCAAGGAGCCAUACAAUCCAUGAAUGGCUUCCAGAUCGGCAUGAAGCGACUCAAGGUGCAGCUCAAGCGACCCAAGAAUGACAGCAAGCCUUACUAGACAGACUGAAGUUGUGUGGAAAGAAGGAAGUGAGGGAAAGAGAUCACGUUGGCGUCUGGCGUGACAUGGCGUGUGUCUCCUGUGUCCCUGUGGCGUCGUCGUGCGUCCGUACUACGUCCCAUCGUGCAUUUGUUUUUUCUUCUCCACUGUCCAUGUGUCCAGCAAGCAGUUCUCGUCGGUCGGUUGGUUCCUUGUUGUCAAUGUUUCAUUUAUUAUUUUUUUGUUUUUGCUGUUUGUUGUUUCUCCUGUAGUUUUUUAGCGUAUCUCAUGCUGGGGUGCCAUUUGUGCUUUUAGUUUGUUCUGUUCUUUUUUUUUCUUUCGUGAAUUAAAUUUUUUAAUAAAAAGAUUUUAGAAAAUUGAUUUUCAGAAAUUGGUAGUCUAGUUAUUACCAUUGUAUGGGUUUGUUCUAUAGAAUGUCCUAUCUGUAACAUUGCAGCCACCAUCAUUUUGACCUAUUGUUUAAAAAAAACAACAAAUUGCUAAAAAUCUGUAGAAGUGUACUUACACACAUUUUUUUUAAACUGAACUGGUUUGGCUUAUUGAUAAAAAUUAUUGUAUAUAUUUUUUAAAAAGUAUUUCUUAUGUUUUUUUUUAUUAUUAUAAAUAUUAUUAUUAUUAAACCUUUAUUUGUGCGAGUUUAGUGUGUUAAGUGUUCUAACCUAAAGUAUGGAACUAAAUUUAUAUUCUGUGGUAAAAAAUCUAUGUUUGUCAUUACUAGUGCUUGCUUUGAAAUAUAGGCCUAUAAUUCAAAAUGCUAUGAAACAAAAUGACAGUAUCACUUUUAAAGUCUUUUUACAAAUGGGUAUCCCAGUUCCAUAUUUCUAUGUGAUUUAGUAUAUGCCCCAUGUACUGCCUUUGGAUCAUAUAAUUAUAUAUAUAUAUAUAUAUUUUAUUAUAUAUUGCUCAUUACUUUUAAACUUCAGUUUUAUUUGUUUGUUUUUUUAUUUUCAAAAGAAGUUUCCUUGUGAAAAAGGCAAUCAGCUAAUGGUGACAUGCAUUUGUUUCUGCCAUCCUAAAUGUAGCAGUGAACUCCAUGUUUAACUAUGUGUUCCUUUCUCUACUUGAACUGCAAGUGCCCAGCAGCAGCAUAUUCUAUGUGACUCCAUGAACAUCUCAUUGCAGAAGUCCUAUGCUUCUUUCUUACUUCCCUGACAAUCAGUUGUUCAAAACAUUUGUCUUUGUUCUACACUAGUCAUGACAAAAUCUCCAUUCCUCACUUGUCCUAGCUUGUUUUAACUGUUUCCAUUGACUUGACAGUGUCCUUAUUUGUCAAAUUGUCCUAUUUGUGUAUAGAAACUGUACACAUAAUGUUACUUUCUGAGGUUAUUUGGCUCCUCAGUUAAUGUUUUUUUUAAAUAUCUAGAAAUCAACCAGGGGAAAGCUCUGUCCUCUGUUAAGUAAAACCGUUGUUUUUUUUUUUUAAUAGCUAACAUGAUUGAUAGCAUAUUCCAUUGUCAGUAAAUUGCCUCUGCGAUGGCAUCUUUUGUAGAGAACUGUGAGAGAAAGAAUCUGUACUCAGGAAAUUCUUGUUUGUCACUGUCUGGUGUCACUAAAACAAUAUUUGUUUGGAUUAAAAUGUCAAUGUUUUUGACAAUGAAA